rnacentral:lncRNA from 1 species
UGUGUUAUUGUUUGGUGUCGAAGGACAUUCUAAAGCAUUGUCUGAUGAAAUCCGAUGUGGACUUAGUUUGGUGGCGUUGGAGUUGGCGCUUUGUGUGGUGGAGUUAGCCAUCGUGUAUAGCUCGUGUGAGCUUUGUAUGUGCUUGGAAAAUCAAGUGUUCUGUGUCUGGUGUGCGUUAGGUGCUGACGUACUUGGUGAAGUAUUUCCGAGAAGUGGAAGAUUGAAGCUUAGAAUCGGGGGUGGGGGUGGGGUUAGCACAGACGGUUUCAUUGAAGUGGUCUCUGAAAAUUGCAGCUGUAGAA